UACGGAGGAUGCGAGCGUUAUCCGGAUUUAUUGGGUUUAAAGGGUGCGUAGGCGGGUUAUCAAGUCAGCGGUAAAAUCGUGGAGCUCAACUCCAUCCAGCCGUUGAAACUGAUGAUCUUGAGUGGGCGAGAAGUAUGCGGAAUGCGUGGUGUAGCGGUGAAAUGCGUAGAUAUUAGGAGGAACACCAGUGGCGAAGGCGGCUUACUGGACUGUAACUGACGUUGAGGCUCGAAAGCGUGGGGAGCAAACAGG
rnacentral:rRNA from 1 species